rnacentral:rRNA from 1 species
UACGUAGGGUGCAAGCGUUAAUCGGAAUUACUGGGCGUAAAGCGUGCGCAGGCGGCUUUGCAAGACAGAUGUGAAAUCCCCGGGCUUAACCUGGGAACUGCAUUUGUGACUGCAUGGCUGGAGUGCGGCAGAGGGGGAUGGAAUUCCGCGUGUAGCAGUGAAAUGCGUAGAUAUGUGGAGGAACACCGAUGGCGAAGGCAGCCCCCUGGGAUAACACUGACGCUCAUGCACGAAAGCGUGGGGAGCAAACAGG